CCUACGGGAGGCAGCAGUAGGGAAUCUUCCACAAUGGGCGAAAGCCUGAUGGAGCAACGCCGCGUGGGUGAAGAAGGUCUUCGGAUCGUAAAACCCUGUUGUUAGAGAAGAAAGUGAGUGAGAGUAACUGUUCACGUUCCGACGGUAUCUAACCAGAGAGCCACGGCUAACUACGUGCCAGCAGCCGCGGUAAUACGUAGGUGGCAAGCGUUAUCCGGAUUUACUGGGCGUAAAGGGAACGCAGGCGGUCAUUUAAGUCUGAUGUGAAAGCCUUGGGCUUAACCGGAGUAGUGCAUUGGAAACUGGGAGACUUGAGUGCAGAAGAGGAGAGUGGAACUCCAUGUGUAGCGGUGAAAUGCGUAGAUAUAAGGAAGAACACCAGUGGCGAAAGCGGCUCUCUGGUCUGUAACUGACGCUGAGGUUCGAAAGCGUGGGUAGCAAACAGGAUUAGAUACCCGAGUAGUC
rnacentral:rRNA from 1 species